rnacentral:rRNA from 1 species
CGCAGCCGCGGUAAUUCCAGCUCCAAUAGCGUAUAUUAAAGUUGUUGCAGUUAAAAAGCUCGUAGUUGAAUUUCGGGAUCAAAUUGUUGGUCGUGCCUCGGUACGCACUGGUAUUAUUGGUUCCUACCUUCUGACGAACCACGAUGUCAUUAAUUUGGUGUCGCGGGAAAUCAGGACUGUUACUUUGAAAAAAUUAGAGUGUUUAAAGCAGGCUCGCGCUUGAAUACAUUAGCAUGGAAUAAUGAAAUAGGACGUUUGAAUUCUAUUUUGUUGGUUUCUAGGAUCGACGUAAUGAUUAAUAGGGAUAGUUGGGGGCAUUAGUAUCAAUUGUCAGAGGUGAAAUUCUUGGAUUUAUU